rnacentral:rRNA from 1 species
UAGUCCACGCCGUAAACGAUGAUUACUCGCUGUAGGCGAUACACAGUCUGUGGCUAAGCGAAAGUUUUAAGUAAUCCACCUGGGGAGUACGAUCGCAAGAUUGAAACUCAAAGGAAUUGACGGGGGCCCGCACAAGCGGAGGAACAUGUGGUUUAAUUCGAUGAUACGCGAGGAACCUUACCUGGGCUCUAAUGCGACUGUUACCUGGUGAAAGCCGGGGUUCCUUCGGGACAGGAAGCAAGGUGCUGCAUGGUUGUCGUCAGCUCGUGCCGUGAGGUGUUGGGUUAAGUCCCGCAACGAGCGCAACCCCUAUUGUUAGUUGCCAGCACAUAAUGGUGGGGACUCUAGCAAGACUGCCGGCGUAAGCCGCGAGGAAGGUGGGGAUGACGUCAAAUCAUCAUGGCCUUUAUGCCCAGGGCUACACACGUGCUACAAUGGUGCAUACGGAGGGUAGCGAAGCCGCGAGGUGGAGCCAAUCCCAGAAAGUGCAUCUCAGUUCGG